AGAGGCUGUUCUAAAGUUUGAAAUUCAAUUUCAGUUCCUUUAUAUAUAAUAAAAUGGGCUGGGUUGUCAAUCAUAAGAUUAUUAAAUUAGUAGGUUAUUACAGAUUUGGCUGGAAAUAAAAUUUUUAUGUGGACACACAAAAUAAUAAUAAUAAAAUACUUUACUUUUCUUCUA